rnacentral:lncRNA from 1 species
UUAUACACACGUUUGCUGGUCUUGAGCUACAAAACCAAAUGACAGUGAACCAGAGAUGAAGGGCAGGGCUGUUUUAUGGAUUUGGACCUCUGGGGAAAGACUGCUGCUUUCUGCUGGGAUUACCACAUCUGUGAGGCUUGGAAUGAUCAGUAGCCAUCCUUUGUGCCAUGUUGGGACUGACAUAACACAGAGAGAGGGCAAAGCAGAGCCAGGAAGUGGAUAGAAGAUACUGUGUGAGAAGCUAGCAUACCCUUGGCUGUCCUAGCUUAUGU